rnacentral:rRNA from 1 species
GUGGGGAAUCUUGCGCAAUGGGCGAAAGCCUGACGCAGCCAUGCCGCGUGAAUGAUGAAGGUCUUAGGAUUGUAAAAUUCUUUCACCGGGGACGAUAAUGACGGUACCCGGAGAAGAAGCCCCGGCUAACUUCGUGCCAGCAGCCGCGGUAAUACGAAGGGGGCUAGCGUUGCUCGGAAUUACUGGGCGUAAAGGGCGCGUAGGCGGACAGUUUAGUCAGAGGUGAAAGCCCAGGGCUCAACCUUGGAAUUGCCUUUGAUACUGGCUGUCUUGAGUACGGGAGAGGGGAGUGGAACUCCGAGUGUAGAGGUGAAAUUCGUAGAUAUUCGGAAGAACACCAGUGGCGAAGGCGACUCACUGGCCCGUUACUGACGCUGAGGCGCGAAAGCGUGGGGAGCAAACAGGAUUAGAAACCCUUGUAGUCC